UGGGGAAUCUUGCGCAAUGCGCGAAAGCGUGACGCAGCAACGCCGCGUGGGGGAAGACGGCCUUCGGGUUGUAAACCCCUUUCAGGAGGGACGAAGGUUCGGCGGUGAAUAGCCGUCCGGAUUGACGGUACCUCCAGAAGCAGCCCCGGCUAACUACGUGCCAGCAGCCGCGGUAAUACGUAGGGGGCGAGCGUUGUCCGGAAUCAUUGGGCGUAAAGGGCGCGUAGGCGGCCCGGUAAGUCCGCUGUAAAAGUCAAAGGCUCAACCUUUGAAUGCCGGUGGAUACUGCCGGGCUAGAGUCCGGAAGAGGCGAGUGGAAUUCCUGGUGUAGCGGUGGAAUGCGCAGAUAUCAGGAGGAACACCAAUAGCGAAGGCAGCUCGCUGGGACGGUACUGACGCUGAGGCGCGAAAGCGUGGGGAGCAAACAGG
rnacentral:rRNA from 1 species